AGUGAACGCUGGCGGUAGGCCUAACACAUGCAAGUCGAACGGCAGCACAGGAGAGCUUGCUCUCUGGGUGGCGAGUGGCGGACGGGUGAGGAAUACAUCGGAAUCUACUUUUUCGUGGGGGAUAACGUAGGGAAACUUACGCUAAUACCGCAUACGACCUACGGGUGAAAGCAGGGGACCUUCGGGCCUUGCGCGAUUGAAUGAGCCGAUGUCGGAUUAGCGAGUUGGCGGGGUAAAGGCCCACCAAGGCGACGAUCCGUAGCUGGUCUGAGAGGAUGACCAGCCACACUGGAACUGAGACACGGUCCAGACUCCUACGGGAGGCAGCAGUGGGGAAUAUUGGACAAUGGGCGCAAGCCUGAUCCAGCCAUACCGCGUGGGUGAAGAAGGCCUUCGGGUUGUAAAGCCCUUUUGUUGGGAAAGAAAUCCAGCUGGCUAAUACCCGGUUGGGAUGACGGUACCCAAAGAAUAAGCACCGGCUAACUUCGUGCCAGCCGCCGCGGUAA
rnacentral:rRNA from 1 species